rnacentral:rRNA from 1 species
AGUAAUCGCGCAUCAGCCAUGGCGCGGUGAAUACGUUCCCGGGCCUUGUACACACCGCCCGUCAAGCCAUGGGAGCCGGGGGUGCUUGAAGUGCGUCGCCGCAAGGCGCGCCCUAGAGCAAAACCGGUGACUGGGGCUAAGUCGUAACAAGGUAAC